rnacentral:rRNA from 1 species
CACGUAGGGGGCAAGCGUUGUCCGGAUUUAUUGGGCGUAAAGAGCUCGUAGGUGGCUGAGUAAGUCGGAUGUUAAAUCCCCAGGCUCAACCUGGGACACCACCCGAUACUGCUCUGGCUAGAGUCCGGUAGGGGAGCGUGGAAUUCCUGGUGUAGCGGUGAAAUGCGUAGAGAUCGGGAAGAACAUCGGUGGCGAAAGCGCUCUGCUGGACUGCAACUGACACUCAGGGACGAAAGCGUGGGGAGCGAACAGG